ACUUAUCACCUCCUCCUUCAGAAACCAACCUCCACACCUCUCCAGCUCCUCUGGAACCCUCUGCACCAAUCGCCCUUCCCUGUCUCCUCCAGCUCCAUGGGGCAAAUCCAGCUUCUGUGUUGGUGUUGGAGGGGGGCAAGACUGUCUGACUACCGAGGAAGCUUGCACUGGAUUGAAAGAGCACAACACCCGCUUUUAAAGGCAGCACAAACACAGGCAUUUCCCUGGUGCUCUCCUACUUACCGGGCUCACCUAAGGUGUUACAGCACAGGCAACACAGAAGGGGAACGUCUGCUACAAUGCAUGCAUGACAAGCAAUUGAUCACCAGUCCACACCGAAACUCGACUCCGAAGGAGUACAAGGGAAGGUGAAAGCUACAGGGAGCGCAACAACCACCACAGUCAGGCCAGACAUCGAGGAAUGCGACUGACGCAGCCUUCCACGCAGCCCGGAGCCGCCGGCAUUCCCCCAUCCCCCGGGCAUGCAGCAAGUCCUGCGCCAAGCAAACCACCCAUGCAAACCCACACACUGCCAGGGCUGAAGCGGCCACGCCAGGGCUCGAUGCUACCCACGGUGGUACGUACGCCGGACGAGGCGGGGAAGGGGCAGGAGGGCAAGGGAGGAGGAGAGCAACAACAAAAGAACAACAACAACAUCAGUCAG